rnacentral:rRNA from 1 species
CAAAGGUGAGCCAGUACAGGAUGGACCCGCGUCUGAUUAGCUAGUUGGUAAGGUAACGGCUUACCAAGGCGACGAUCAGUAGCCGACCUGAGAGGGUGAUCGGCCACAUUGGAACUGAGACACGGUCCAAACUCCUACGGGAGGCAGCAGUGGGGAGUAUUGCACAACGGGCGAAAGCCUGAUGCAGCAACGCCGCGUGAGUGAUGAAGGCCUUCGGGUCGUAAAACUCUGUCCUCAAGGAAGAUAAUGACGGUACUUGAGGAGGAAGCCCCGGCUAACUACGUGCCAGCAGCCGCGGUAAUACGUAGGGGGCUAGCGUUAUCCGGAUUUACUGGGCGUAAAGGGUGCGUAGGCGGUCUUUCAAGUCAGGAGUGAAAGGCUACGGCUCAACCGUAGUAAGCUCUUGAAACUGGGAGACUUGAGUGCAGGAGAGGAGAGUGGAAUUCCUAGUGUAGCGGUGAAAUGCGUAGAUAUUAGGAGGAACACCAGUUGCGAAGGCGGCUCUCUGGACUGUAACUGACGCUGAGGCACGAAAGCGUGGGGAGCAAACAGGAUUAGAUACCCUGGUAGUCCACGCUGU